rnacentral:rRNA from 1 species
GACGAACGCUGGCGGCGUGCUUAACACAUGCCAGUCGAACGAAGAGCGAUGGAAGCUUGCUUCUAUCAAUCUUAGUGGCGAACGGGUGAGUAACGCGUAAUCAACCUGCCCUUCAGAGGGGGACAACAGUUGGAAACGACUGCUAAUACCGCAUACGAUCUAAACUCGGCAUCGAGGAUAGAUGAAAGGUGGCCUCUACAUGUAAGCUAUCACUGAAGGAGGGGAUUGCGUCUGAUUAGCUAGUUGGAGGGGUAACGGCCCACCAAGGCGAUGAUCAGUAGCCGGUCUGAGAGGAUGAACGGCCACAUUGGGACUGAGACACGGCCCAGACUCCUACGGGAGGCAGCAGUGGGGAAUCUUCCGCAAUGGACGAAAGUCUGACGGAGCAACGCCGCGGGAGGGAUGACGGCCUUCGGGUUGGAAAGCUCUGUUAAUCGGGACGAAAGGCCUUCUUGCGAAUAGUGAGAAGGAUUGACGGUACCGGAAUAGAAAGCCACGGCUAACUACGUG